rnacentral:tRNA from 1 species
GGAGAGAUGGCUGAGUGGUCGAAAGCGCAUCCCUGCUAAGGAUGUAGGGGGGUAACCCCCUCGAGGGUUCGAAUCCCUCUCUCUCCGCCA